UGAAGUCAGCUAGGGCCCACCUCAUCUCCAGCUCUGAAGGCAGCGUUCCGCAUCUUCAGGAGUUCGUAGACCUCCCCUGUUAGCCACGGCUUCUGGUUGGCCCGGA